AUGGCUUGCAGUCGAGGCAUAUUCCUAUCUGCCACCUUCGCCGUCCUGUCAAUCCUAUCACUCCCAAGGGCGACGCACGGCUGGGCGAACGGUGGCGCAACGUGGUACGGCGGCCCUAACGGCGACGGCAGCGAAGGUGGCGCGUGUGGUUAUAAAAGCGAUGUCGGCCAGGACCCGUUCUCGUCGUUGAUCGCCGCCGGCGGAGUGGGCAUCUUCAAGAACGGCAAAGGCUGCGGUUCAUGCUAUCAGGUCAGGUGCAAAGAGAACCCGGAAUGCUCCGGCAAACACGUGACCGUCGUCAUCACCGACCAGUGCCCCGACGCGCAGUGCCAGAAGAGGCCGCACUUCGACAUGAGCGGCACCGCCUUCGGCGCCAUGGCCAAGCCCGGGAUGGCCGAUAAACUGCGUAACGCCGGAGUCCUCAAUAUCGAAUUCGAGAGGGUGCCGUGCAAGUACCAUGGCAAGAAGAUUAGCUUCAAGAUGGACUCGGGCGCCAACCCAUUCUACCUCGCCAUGCUGGUCGAAUACGAGGCCGGCGACGGAGACCUCAACUCCGUGGAAGUCAUGGAGGCCGGCGGCAAAAAAGGCUACGCCAAGUGGGAAAAGAUGCGGCAGUCGUGGGGCGCCCUGUGGUGCAUGGACUCCAAGACCGGGAAGCCUCUGGAAGCCCCAUUCUCCUUCCGGCUCACCUCGAGUUCCGGCAAGGUGCUCGUCGCCAACAAUGUCGUCCCCGCCGGGUGGAAUGCUGGGAAGUGCUACGAGUCCAAGGUGAACUACCCCGCCUGA
rnacentral:rRNA from 1 species